GAUUCUGAAAAAAGUUACACCGUGUAAAAGUAAAGUUGCACAAUGUAGUAUUAAAGUUGCACCAUAUAGCGCCAAAGUUGACAUCGAAAAAUUCACCGAAACAUACCCAUGUGUGAUCUAGUUUCAAAGAUCUCGUCGUGAAUAAUCCAACUGUGAAGAUGGAUGUGAAUUACAAUGCGCGGUCUGAAAGAUAUGAUUUUUUGAAAAUUGAAAACCAAAAUAAAU
rnacentral:lncRNA from 1 species